CAUGUGCUAAUAAGAGAAGGAACAUCUGUUUCGCUGCCAGACACUCAUAAACAUGAACACACGGUGUUUACUUUGCCCCAGUUUAUAAGGCGUAAAUGCUAAGUCUGACAGAAGUGAGCGAAGUAGCGGUAAGACAUUGCGUUUCCUAAAGUAAGGACACAAAGAAUUUCUUACAUUGUCCCGCCUGUUCCUAUCUCUAUCGCACGCGCAUAGUUAUAUUGCUGUCCCACCGAUGAUUCCGGCGGUCAAUGCCAUUGUGCGAGCGGAGCAAUAUAAUUAUGCUCGUGCGAUAGAGAUAGGAUAUCUAUAGCGGGUUAAUGAACGAAAUUCUUCGUGUUAAGCGUCCUUACUUUAUUAACGACUUUUUUCUUGCUUCGCUGCCUCGUCGAUUUCUAAUGGAUCGGUUUAAAGUGUAUUCAUGUUUAUGACAAUUAUGACUGUGUCUGAAGGCCAAAGUACAUAACCCCAGGGGUUGUCUCUAUGAGUCAUGUUAUACAUAAGGAUCAGAUAGGGUGAAAAAACCACUAGGUACGUUAACAUUCAACUUGAAGUAAAAACACACAAUCAUUUAAGUUAUUAUGCUCUUUUAACCCCAUCUGAUUUUACAAUUUUAAGUACUUUCUAUCAAGAAUUAAUGCAUGACAUACACCAGAGUCUAGAGAUUCUAAAGCAAUCGAAGUUAAAAGUAGUCUCACACUCUCACAAAUCUCUAAUUUUCGAUUAAUUGGGAUUAUCAAGUAGGUGCCCACCUAGUGUAGUAAACUUACUUCUCGUCUAACUGUAUUAAAACUACUUUUAACAUCGAAUAUACAACACAUACAAAAGAAAGCAUAGCAAGACAAGCAAAAAGUGAAGUCUCAUAUCCCUUUACUAGCGUGCCCUAAUGGUAUAACAUCACGAUAUGGUAUAUGGUAUAACAUCCCGUAUGGGUCGUCACGAACCUCGGCAUUUCGUGCAUGGAUGAGAGGUACAAAUAUGUAUACAGGAUGACUUUUGAUAAUGUUAUCAAAUAAGAAUUCGUAUUAAAGACCAACUUCAAAAUUUCCAAAACGCAUACAUAUGGAAAAACCCAUUUCAGUUUGGAAUCGUGAAAAUUCAGAACAAGGGAACCACAACGAUGAAUUGACAUGCAGUUUACAGUACGGUUAAUGUAAGUAUGUAGGUACAGUCGACGUCAAAGAUGUGUUUACGUUUUUCGACUUAUUACAAAGAAGUAAGGUGCAAGAUGUAAACAUAUCUUUGACGUCAACUGUACAUAAGAAAUAAAUAAACAAUUGUUUGCAAUAUAAAAUAAAUAAAUCAUAAUUUACAUUUAAUGACAACAUUUAUUUUUAUAAUGUGUAUUCGCAAUAAAAAAAUUCUAUCACAUACAAGGUAAUUUUAACUUUAGCCAAUUCUACGACGUGAAAACGUAGGUCAUAAGUAUUUCCACUAUGGUCCUAUAUAACGAAAACAUUGUUGUCAAAUUAGCUCCCUUUAGUAAAAGGUGUUUAUGACCUACAUAAUCAGCCAGCGCAAUAUGGCUAACGGUAACGGUUGAAAAACCACCCAGUAUGGUGCUUAAAAAGUUAAAAACAUCAGGAGAAGCUAGACCACUCAUAUUAUAGAUAUUUCUGAGCAUCUUGCUCGCUUCGAUCUCCGUACUAUUGACAGUGAAUGGAGUGAUAAAUAUAGCCCGAGUAAUAGUUGAGUCGGGGCCAAUUUUCACAGGUCUUAUAUAAUGAGUACCGAAUAGUAGUGAAACAUUACGCCUUGUUUAUUUGAUCUGAGUCCAAAACGAGCCCACGUGACCUUUAUACGCAGUACUUUCUUAUCUGUAAUGGACUGAAGAAUUUUUGAAGUUUACCUGGAGACCAAUUCAAA